CCUACGGGUGGCUGCAGUGAGGAAUAUUGGUCAAUGGCCGGAAGGCUGAACCAGCCAAGCCGCGUGAAGGACGAAGGUGCCAAGCAUUGUAAACUUCUUUUGUCAAGGGACAAAAUCAGGCUCGAGAGCCUGACCGAGGGUACUUCAAGAAAACGCAUCGGCUAACUCUGUGCCAGCAGCCGCGGUAAGACGGAGGAUGCGAGCGUUAUCCGGAUUUAUUGGGUUUAAAGGGUGCGUAGGCGGGCUGUUAAGUCAGCGGUAAAAGCCCGGGGCUCAACCCCGGCGAGCCGUUGAACCUGGCUGUCUAGAGAUGUAGAGAGGUAUGCGGAAUGCGCAGUGUAGCGGUGAAAUGCGUAGAGAUUGCGCAGAACACCGAUUGCGAAGGCAGCAUACCGGCGGCGAUCUGACGCUGAGGCACGAAAGCGUGGGGAUCGAACAGGAUUAGAUACCCGUGUAGUC
rnacentral:rRNA from 1 species